AACGAACGCUGGCGGCAUGCCUAACACAUGCAAGUCGAACGAGACCUUCGGGUCUAGUGGCGCACGGGUGCGUAACGCGUGGGAACCUGCCCUUAGGUUCGGAAUAACUCCCCGAAAGGGGUGCUAAUACCGGAUAAUGUCUUCGGACCAAAGAUUUAUCGCCUUUGGAUGGUCCCGCGUUGGAUUAGCUAGUUGGUAGGGUAAAAGCCUACCAAGGCGACGAUCCAUAGCUGGUCUGAGAGGAUGAUCAGCCACACUGGGACUGAGACACGGCCCAGACUCCUACGGGAGGCAGCAGUGGGGAAUAUUGGACAAUGGGCGAAAGCAUGAUCCAGCAAUGCCGCGUGAGUGAUGAAGGCAUUAGGGUUGUAAAGCUCUUUUACACGGGAUGAUAAUGACAGUACCGGGAGAAUAAGCGCCGGCUAACUCCGUG
rnacentral:rRNA from 1 species